UGCAGCCAUACUUUUCCCUGAAACGUCUCAAACUCAUCAAUCAGAGGAAACAAUCAAAAAGUAUUGUCAUUUGAAUAACACCAGACUGACCACCACCAAGAUNNNNGAUCCGGUUAUCGAAGCAUUUAAGAAAAAUCCUAACAUGAUUAACCCUCAGGCUAUGAGCGACUAGAUAAGGAAAGAAAACCAGAUCAAGAAUUCCAGCG
rnacentral:misc_RNA from 1 species